AACGACCGUAUCAAGACGAAACAUUGGUUCCCGUACAAUCGCCGAAGUUAAAAAAUGUCGAGCCUGGUCAGUACCUAAAUGGCUGACUGCUUGGGAGAAGCAUGUGUUGUAAG